rfam:Schistosoma margrebowiei strain Zambia genome assembly, scaffold: SMRZ_scaffold0000232
AUCCGGCUGAAGAGUCCAAAAUGGGACGAAACGCGCAUCCUGGAA